UUGGGUGGAGAAGCAGAAUUGUUUUUCGAAAAGUGUUCGUACGGAAAAAGAUUCAGAGUAACUGUGAUACAUCACGGAUGCGCUAAUUUUGAUCAAGAUGAGAUCGAUGCUCCGUGUAUGAGACAGUUUUUAACGCGUUGUCCUGAUUUAAAGAUCUAAAAAGGUGAUUGUCGGCCAUUUGUUUUUUUUUUUUUUUUGACAGGGAGAGAUAGAAAGAAGCUUCUUAAAACUUCGAGUGUAAUUUAACACACGUUUGAAAGGUACGAGCAAAAAUUCUUAUCAUCCAACUAUCGCGGAACGGCAGCGUUAUUAUCUGACCGAUUAACUGAAAAAUAUAUGUUCAGUGAAAGGCUGACCAUCGAAGGGCCGAGCCGCUUGAAUCAGCAGGAACGAUAACGUGCGUAUUUCUUGUCUGUAUUGUGGAAACUAAAAUCAUUAUACAUCUUGUCAUAUGAUACAUCAUACAUCAUACAUCACACAUAGUAUUAAAGUUCGAAACCAGAGUUUUAAUGUUCAGAUGUUCGGAUGUUCAGAAAGUGACGUCACCUAAAAUUUUUUCUCCCUUGACGUCAUCGAUCUAUAGUAAUCAGCUGGCCGAAAUCCUCAGUCUCGAAACAACCGCGCAGUAGAGCGGACGUAUGAGAAUCGCGCUCCGCAGAUUUCGAGUACUGGGUUCUCUACCUCCUGGAUCCUGCGCUCUGGGUCUGCUUUCUGGUGUCUCUCCAAUUCCAGGACAAGUGCUCCGUAGUUUCUGCGCUCCAAGUCCGCUACCUGGUGAAACUGUACUUCCAGGACGAGCACUUCAUGGUUCCUGCGCUCCAGAUCCGCUGCCUGGUGAAACUCGACUUCACGACCAAGAGGUGGAGGAAGAGGAGGAGUAUAACCCGAAGUGGUUAUCAGUGGUUAAUGGAGGUGUUAGACAGUGGUUGGAGGUGGUAGGAGGUGGACGAGGAGGAGGACGAGAAAGACCAGGAGAACAAGGUGGAUGAGGAAGACGAGGAUUUGCACUCGGUAUAACCCAAGUGGGUGGCGGUGG